AGAGAGAGAGAGAGAGAGAGAGAGAGAGAGAGAGAAGCAAAGCUGAUGCAGCUCCUGAGCAGAACAAAUGUGUUCGGAGCUGCUGAAUAUAGGUCACACAUCUCCAGCGACUGUUGCCUUCCCUCCACUGAACCAGCAUCCUGCAUUAUGCACUUCACACAAAAUCAACAAUGUA